rfam:Ixodes scapularis strain Wikel colony gcontig_1108378427444, whole genome shotgun sequence.
GCCCUUGGCUAUACCAUGCUGAGUACACUGGUUCUCGUCCGAUCAUCGAAGCUAAGCAGCAUCGGGACCCGUCAGUACUUAGGAGGGCGACAACUUUUUGCCAUCUCUC